UACGGAGGGUGCAAACGUUGCUCGGAAUCAUUGGGCGUAAAGCGCACGUAGGUGGUCUGUUUAGUCAGGUGUGAAAGCCCUGGGCUCAACCCAGGAAGUGCACUUGAUACUGGCAGGCUUGAGUAUGGAAGAGGGUCGCGGAAUUCCCGGUGUAGAGGUGAAAUUUCGUAGAUAUCGGGAGGAACACCAGUGGCGAAGGCGGCG
rnacentral:rRNA from 1 species